AGAGUUUGAUCCUGGCUCAGGAUGAACGCUAGCGGCAGGCCUAACACAUGCAAGUCGAGGGGCAGCGGGAGUGCUUGCACUCGCCGGCGACCGGCGCACGGGUGCGGAACGCGUAUCGAAUCUGCCUCUAUCUGGGGGAUACCCCAUGGAAACGUGGAAUAAUACCCCAUAGUAUUACUUUAUCGCAUGAUUUAGUAAUUAAAGAAUUUCGGAUAGAGAUGACGAUGCGUAUCAUUAGCUAGUAGGUAAGGUAACGGCUUACCUAGGCAACGAUGAUUAGGGGUCCUGAGAGGGAGAUCCCCCACACUGGUACUGAGACACGGACCAGACUCCUACGGGAGGCAGCAGUGAGGAAUAUUGGACAAUGGUCGAAAGACUGAUCCAGCCAUGCCGCGUGCAGGAUGACUGCCCUAUGGGUUGUAAACUGCUUUUAUACGGGAAGAAAAACACCUACGUGUAGGUGACUGACGGUACCGUAAGAAUAAGGACCGGCUAACUCCGUGCCAGCAGCCGCGGUAAUACGGAGGGUCCAAGCGUUAUCCGGAAUCAUUGGGUUUAAAGGGUCCGUAGGCGGGCUAUUAAGUCAGAGGUGAAAGUUUGCAGCUCAACUGUAAAAUUGCCUUUGAUACUGAUAGUCUUGAAUUGUAGUGAAGUGGUUAGAAUAUGUGGUGUAGCGGUGAAAUGCAUAGAUAUCACAUAGAAUACCGAUUGCGAAGGCAGAUCACUAACUAUAUAUUGACGCUGAGGGACGAAAGCGUGGGGAGCGAACGGGAUUAGAUACCCCGGUAGUCCACGCCGUAAACGAUGGAUACUAGCUGUUGGAUUUUUUCAGUGGCUAAGCGAAAGUGAUAAGUAUCCCACCUGGGGAGUACGUUCGCAAGAAUGAAACUCAAGGAAUUGACGG
rnacentral:rRNA from 1 species